AGGGGAAAGAUUUAUCGCUAUAGGAUGGGCCCGCGUUGGAUUAGCUAGUUGGUGAGGUAAUGGCUCACCAAGGCGACGAUCCAUAGCUGGUCUGAGAGGACGACCAGCCACACUGGGACUGAGACACGGCCCAGACUCCUACGGGAGGCAGCAGUGGGGAAUAUUGGACAAUGGGCGCAAGCCUGAUCCAGCCAUGCCGCGUGAGUGAUGAAGGCCUUAGGGUUGUAAAGCUCUUUUGGCGGGGACGAUAAUGACGGUACCCGCAGAAUAAGUCCCGGCUAACUUCGUGCCAGCAGCCGCGGUAAUACGAAGGGGACUAGCGUUGUUCGGAAUCACUGGGCGUAAAGCGCACGUAGGCGGAUUUGUAAGUCAGGGGUGAAAUCCCGGGGCUCAACCUCGGAACUGCCUUUGAUACUGCGAAUCUCGAGUCCGAUAGAGGUGGGUGGAAUUCCUAGUGUAGAGGUGAAAUUCGUAGAUAUUAGGAAGAACACA
rnacentral:rRNA from 1 species